rnacentral:rRNA from 1 species
AGUGAACGCUGGCGGUAGGCCUAACACAUGCAAGUCGAACGGCAGCACAGUAAGAGCUUGCUCUUACGGGUGGCGAGUGGCGGACGGGUGAGGAAUACAUCGGAAUCUACUUUUUCGUGGGGGAUAACGUAGGGAAACUUACGCUAAUACCGCAUACGACCUACGGGUGAAAGCAGGGGAUCUUCGGACCUUGCGCGAUUGAAUGAGCCGAUGUCGGAUUAGCUAGUUGGCGGGGUAAAGGCCCACCAAGGCGACGAUCCGUAACUGGUCUGAGAGGAUGAUCAGCCACACUGGAACUGAGACACGGUCCAGACUCCUACGGGAGGCAGCAGUGGGGAAUAUUGGACAAUGGGCGCAAGCCUGAUCCAUCCAUACCGCGUGGGUGAAGAAGGCCUUCGGGUUGUAAAGCCCUUUUGUUGGGAAAGAAAAGCAGCAGGUUAAUACCCCGCUGUUCUGACGGUACCCAAAGAAUAAGCACCGGCUAACUUCGUG